UACGGCACAAUAAGGAUUUAUCUAAUCUAAUGCAUCUUCAAGGUUGGAGUACCAAUUAUUCUUUUCUGUUCUUUUCAUCCUGAUGCCCU